AUGGAAGAGCACAAGACGACCGGCCUCGCUGCGACGGCGAGCCCCCUCGGCGAGCCUCUUCUCACGGCCACCGGGAAGCGGGUUGUUGACCGCGACGCCGAGGCGCAGCUCCCCCCGUAUCCCAGCGCCGGCGCCUCCUUCUCCAGGACGUGCCUCAACCUCACCAACGCCGUGUCGGGCAUCGGGGUGCUCUCCAUGCCCUACGCCGUGUCGCGGGGCGGGUGGCUCAGCCUGGCGCUCUUCGCCCUCGUCGGCACCGUCUGCUACUACACCGGCACGCUCAUAGCGCGCUGCAUGCUCGCCGACGGCUCCGUCGCCACCUACCCGGACGUCGGCCAGCUGGCCUUCGGCGCCGCCGGCCGGAGAACCGUCGCCCUGUUCAUGUACGUGGAGCUCUACCUCGUAGCCAUCAGCUUCCUGGUCCUCGAGGGCGACAACCUAGAUAAGCUCUUCCCGCCGGCUACCGGCUGCGCGGUAAGCAGUUGUACAUCGUCCUGGCCGGCGCCGUCGUGCUGCCCACCACCUGGCUCAAGAACCUCGGCGUGCUCGCCUACGUGUCGGCCCUCGGGCUCGUCGCGUCGGCGGCCCUGA
rnacentral:rRNA from 1 species